UUCUUGGUCAUUUAGAGGAAGUAAAAGUCGUAACAAGGUUUCCGUAGGUGAACCUGCGGAAGGAUCAUUAAAGAAAUUUAAUAAUUUUGAAAAUGGAUUUUUUUGUUUUGGCAAGAGCAUGAGAGCUUUUACUGGGCAAGAAGACAAGAGAUGGAGAGUCCAGCCGGGCCUGCGCUUAAGUGCGCGGUCUUGCUAGGCUUGUAAGUUUCUUUCUUGCUAUUCCAAACGGUGAGAGAUUUCUGUGCUUUUGUUAUAGGACAAUUAAAACCGUUUCAAUACAACACACUGUGGAGUUUUCAUAUCUUUGCAACUUUUUCUUUGGGCAUUCGAGCAAUCGGGGCCCAGAGGUAACAAACACAAACAAUUUUAUCUAUUCAUUAAAUUUUUGUCAAAAACAAGAAUUUUCGUAACUGGAAAUUUUAAAAUAUUAAAAACUUUCAACAACGGAUCUCUUGGUUCUCGCAUCGAUGAAGAACGCAGCGAAAUGCGAUACGUAAUGUGAAUUGCAGAAUUCCGUGAAUCAUCGAAUCUUUGAACGCACAUUGCGCCCCUUGGUAUUCCAGGGGGCAUGCCUGUUUGAGCGUCAUUUCCUUCUCAAACAUUCUGUUUGGUAGUGAGUGAUACUCUUUGGAGUUAACUUGAAAUUGCUGGCCUUUUCAUUGGAUGUUUUUUUUCCAAAGAGAGGUUUCUCUGCGUGCUUGAGGUAUAAUGCAAGUACGGUCGUUUUAGGUUUUACCAACUGCGGCUAAUCUUUUUUUAUACUGAGCGUAUUGGAACGUUAUCGAUAAGAAGAGAGCGUCUAGGCGAACAAUGUUCUUAAAGUUUGACCUCAAAUCAAGGUAGGAGUACCCGCUGAACUUAAGCAUAUCAAUAAGGCGGAGGAA
rnacentral:rRNA from 1 species